rnacentral:rRNA from 1 species
AUGCUUGUAGAUCAUGAAAAGAAUGCCUUAGGUGCUGGUUAUAUUGUUGAAUUCAUUCAUGAUGCUACUGAAAAUUAUUAUGAGGGAGGAACAUAUGCUUGUAUGAAUUGCAAUAAUAUCAAGUUUCCUCUCUAUGUGCUUAAAAUUUUAAAGUUAUCCUUGUUUUACCUUCCUAUGCAAGUUGAUUCUUGUUCCCACAAGUUGUUUGCUCACAAAAUCCCUAUGCAUAGGAAGUGGGUUAGACUUAAAUGUGCUAGUCAUAUUCUUCAUGAUGCUCUCUUUAUGUUACAAUUCUUAUCUUUUAUGUGA